CACUUGUUUCAAAACCCUAGAAAAUAACGUAACUGGUUCAGCACUGCACUUCAGGUGUUUCACCUUCGCCCUUUGACGUGGUUUACCGGUGUUUUUGGCCAUAAGGCUUUGGCUUUGGUGACCCAUUCUGCUUUGCUUGCUCUGCCUUUGGGUUUUCACGGGCUGUAGACGUUUGCAGACUCUGCAAUCAGUUGCAUUGCUGCUUAUGCUCUGGCUGAACCCUAAGGACGAAUAUAGAGUGAUCAACUUUCCAGAGUAGAGGUACCUCCCCACAAACAAGUUGAUUGAGGUUAGAGGUGGUCAAGAUGAUGAUGAGGAAAAGAGAAGAACUGCAAUUCACCAAGAAGCCCUACAUUGAAGAUGUGGGCCCUCGGAAAAUGGGCCUCCAAACAAGACCAAAUCUUGUGCCACAUGCAAUGGAGAUUUCAAAGAAUGUCUGUGGAUACUUGAAUCUUGCUUUACCAGUUUUUAAUGUUGGAUAUCUACCCAUCAUUGUGGACAUUUUGAAAUGCAUUUGCAAGUGCCCGUUGGAUAGGGAAUCAUGGAUUUUCAAUUGGCAUCGAUGAUGUCCAACCAGGAAAGGAGUUAGUUGAAAAGAAGAAAAUGGAAAUAGAGAAGGGGAUUGGGACAUGUGAAACGUAUAUAGCUUCAUUUAACAAGGGGGAACUUGAGCUACAAACGUUCAAAAGGCUCAGUAAUCAAUAUUAGUCAGAUGAUUGCAUGUGUCGGCCAGCAAUCUGUUGGGGGUCGUCGUGCUCCAAAUGGAUUCAUGGAUCGGAGUCUUCCUCAUUUUCCUACAAAAUCAAAAUUUCCAGCUGCUAAAGGAUUCAUCGCCAGUUCAUUUUAUGAUGGUUUAAGUGCUACUGAGUUUUUUUUCCACAUUAUGGGUGGAAGAGAAGGCCUUGUAGACACAGCGGUUAAAACUGCUGACACAGGGUAUAUGUUACGGAGGCUUAUGAAGGCUCUGGAGGAUCUUUCAAUUUUGUACGACAGAACCGUGCGAAAUUGAGUGAAUGUUUAUCACACUUUUAUGAAUAUUCAUUAGUAUGUGGUUCAUUGCCUUUAAAAAAAUUGUCAUUUUUGUGUUCUUUGCAUUUCAAGUAUUCUUCCCUUGUGCAAAUAAGUCAUCAAGGCUAGAGAACCAAAAUAGGUAUUAAUUUUCUGUGAUCUUCCCUCAAAAUGUGUGGAGAAC